rnacentral:rRNA from 1 species
GACUAAAAUUCUAGGUAAAGUAAUGAUGAUGACAUUUUUUAUCAUGUGUCUUGACUAACUCACGUGCCAGCAGUCGCGGUAAUACGUGGAAGACUAGUGUUAUUCAUCUUUAAUAGGUUUAAAGGGUACCUAGACAGUAUAUUUAGCCCAAGGGUACUGAUAAACUAGAGUUUAAUGUGAGGAGGUGAGUAUUACGAAGUAGAGAUGAAAUUCUGUCAUAACAGGGAGGCAACUGGUAUAGGCGAAAGCAACCUUUUAUGCAAAAACUGACGUUGAAGGACGAAGGCUUAGGUCACCAACAGGAUUAGAUACCCCAGCAGUCUUUGCAGACAACGCUGAAUGCCAUAGAUUAGAUUUUAUUUUUUCUAUAAAUGAAAGUGUAAGCAUUCCACCUCAAGAGUAAUUUGGCAACAUUGGAACUGAAAUCAUUAGACCGUUUCUGAAACCAGUAGUGAAGUAUGUUGUUUAAAUUGAUGAUCCGCAAAAAACCUUACCACAAUUUGAAUAUUUAUACAAGCGUUGCACGGCUGUUUUUAGUUAAUGUUGUGAGAUUUUGGUUAGUUCCAUUA